AUCUUCUAUUUUGAUAUUCAUUUCUGCUUCUGGGUGUGUUUUGUUCAAUUUGUUUCUUGUUUCCUCUUCAAUACACUAUCUGGUUUUCUGAUCGAUCUGGACAGUGAUGCUUGUUAUUGAGUUUGAUCAUCAAAUUCAUCAUCUUCAUCCCCCAAUUCAUUUCUCAGAUGUGUAAUUACUACCCUUUACACCAUUCAUCUUUCUCACAACCACACUUAGAUCCAAUUCGAUCAAAUUGUUUAUGGAAAUUGGGUCUUUAACAAAGUUACUGCACCAAGAUCUGGAACUUUUAUGUAUUUUCCCUCAAUCAUGAAGGUCACUCCGACCUUAUUGUUGUGUUGUGUUGUGUUUUGUUCGCUUUUAUUUAAGUUUGUGAAGAUAAUUUUAUGAGCUUUGUUUCUGCUUGAUUCAUCUUGAUCUUUUAUACUUCAAUUAUGAAUUUAGAUUUGGGAGGAAGAAGAAUGAUACGAAGAAGGAGGACGAUUAUGAGCUUGGUUUCUGCUUGAUUCAUCUUGAUCUUUUAUGCUUCAAUUAUGAAUUUAGAUUUGGAAGGAAGAAGAAUGAUACGAAGAAGGAGGACGAUUAUGUUUGUUUCAUUAAGAUGAGAAUGAUAGGAAGUGAUUAAUUUCUAAAAAAAAUUAUGUUUGUUUGAUUAAGAUGAUAAAGUUUAUGAAAAUGAUGAAGAAAGAGUGGAGGGAAGAAGAUGAUACUAAGAGAAGAUGAAC
rnacentral:lncRNA from 1 species